rnacentral:tRNA from 1 species
UGUAGCUCAGUGGUAGUAGAGUGCUUGCCUAGUAUGCAUGAGUGCUGGGUUCAACGCCCAGCA